rnacentral:tRNA from 1 species
GAGCUUGAAGGCGGUAUAGGGGCGCAGCACGUUGCCGGCGUCCUGCAGGGCGGGCAGGCCCUCUGCGCCGGUCACGCUCAGCGUGGGCUCCC